CUCAGUGUGUUCUUCUCCCAGUGUGUGCUACACCACCAUGAUCAUUUUCACUGUACUGCUGCUCUCUGCUCUUACAGGUAACAGAGCUGAAGACGUCAUCACUCCUAGCAGAGAUGCUGUUUUUGCUGUUGAAGGUCAGAAUGUUACCCUCUCCUGUAACUACACUGUAAGUGCUGACAGUCUUCACUGGUAUCAACAGUAUUCAGGCUCUCCUCCCCAGUUCCUCAUACUGGACUAUGCAGGGAGCAUUACUGAAGCUCAACCUCCAGUUCCUGGAAUAUUCAUCAACCAUCAAAAAGGAAUAAAAAAAGUGAAUCUGAUCAUCUCCUCUACUGCAGUAUCAGACUCUGCUCUCUACUACUGUGCUCUACAGUAUCCUAACAGAGCUCUACAGUAUUUACUGUGGAGAGGAGCUCGAUCUCGAAGUGGUGAAGAAGACACUGCAGAUAGUAGAUUUGAGUCGCCUGAAUUCGAAUCAUCCACUGAUCUCACUGUUACAGUAGGACUGGCAGAUACAGCUCUCUACUACUGUGCUCUUCAAGUUGCAGCACAGUGA